CACAGAAAGCCCCUUGUCGAGAAGAACCAAGGACCGUGGCCAACAGCCUCCAUCCGGUUCCCAGCUGACAGCCAACACCAAGUUGCCAGCCAUGUGAGCCCUGUUGGAAGUGAAUCCCCCAGCCUCAGUCUACAGCUGACACCAGUUAGAAGCAGCAUUCCAACAAGAAGAUCCACAAGAUGAAUUUGCAAAUAGCAGUUUCCAAACUUUUGAAUUGUUCAACCUGAGCAACAGUUCCAUCUCCAUGAAUACUUCACAUAUUGUUUAUCCUGCUCUUAAAUGUUACCUGAUUCUGCUACUACAAAUCAAUCAAAGAACUGGUGAUUUGUCUUGGGGUCUUAAAUUAAUUUUGAGCAGCUCUGCAAGCUGUGUCCCG
rnacentral:lncRNA from 10 species